UCAAUAAAAUGCAGCUCCACAUAUGGUAUAAAUUGAAACAAACCCUAAUUAAAUUUCAACACUAUUGAAAUUUCCCGAUCCCUAAUCUCAGCUCUCACUAGCUCAGCUCAACCUCCCGAUCCAAUCUCGCCACCGUGCUCUCAAGAGCUCUCGCCGCCGUGCUCUCAACCCACUACCCACAAACCUCACGCCUCCUCCCUCAUCAAAACCCGAAAAAAUUUGCUGACCAAAGAGACCCAAGCUCUUCACUAGCAAGGCUCGCUCUGUCACUGGCAGGCUGUCACUCCACUUGAUCAAGUUUAAACGCACAAGUGAAACAAAAAAAAAAAAACAUGGCCAUGAAACCUAAAACCCACAACGGAAAUGGCAACUCCAGUGACAACAACAGCGGCGGAGGAAGCAGCAGCUCGUCGAGCCCGCCUCUGUCGCCGCCGCUUCGCUCCAACGUAUCCCAAUGCCGGCGAUGAGUGCGGUCCAAAGCACAGUCUCAGCUCUUAAAGGACAGCUUCAGCAGUGGCAUUCUGUUCCGGCGAAACCUGCGGUACUUGGUGGUGCUUCCUCUGCUCUACUUAUCUGGGUUGCUCAUGUGUGUUGGUGGGCCCUUCUCGGCUCUCAUCGGCUGGCCUACCACUCCUGGUGCCGUGUACCGUAGCCACGACAUGUUUCGAAAACUCUAGCCUCGUAUUCACUCUGAUAAUUCCUCUGUUCUUGAGGUUCGCUCUUUGUUUUGGGUUUUUCAUUUGGUUGCAGAAGAAAAUGCAGGAAAAGAAAAAUUGUCCUCUGUUUGGAAAAAAAAAAGAAGGGUAAAAGAGCAAAAACUGUGUCCAAAUUCAACAACUAGUCCAUGUUUUGAGUCCUCUGGCCCCAGUGGUUACUUGAUUGUUGAGGCUAAUGGUGGUCUUAACCAACAACGCUCUACGAUCUAUAAUGCAGUGGCUGUAGUUGGGCUUUUGAAUGCAAUACUAGUUAUCCCUCGCUUUGAUUUCCAUAAUGU